AGAGCACAAGGGGAAUGCCUUGGCACCGAGAGCCGAAGAAGGACGUGACUAACUGCGAUAAGCUACGGGGAGCUGUAAGUGAGCGUUAUAUCCGUAGAUUUCCGAAUGGAGCAAUCCGAUUAGAGGAAAGUCUAAUCAUCAUAUACUGAAUACAUAGGUAUAUGAGGGGAACCGCCUGAACUGAAACAUCUAAGUAGGGCGAGGAAGAGAAAUCAACAGAGAUUCCGUAAGUAGUGGCGAGCGAACGCGGAAGAGGCCAAACCUAAUAUAGUAAUAUGUUAGGGGUUCGGACAGUAUAAUGAAUUGUCGAAAUUUAGCCGAAUGUCAUGGGAAGGGCAAUCAAAGAAGGUGAAAAUCCUGUAGGCGAAAAGUUAAGACAUCAGACUGUAUCCAGAGUACCGCCGGACACGUGAAACCCGGUGGGAAUACGGGGGGACCAUCCUCCAAGCCUAAAUACUACUCGGUGACCGAUAGAGAAGAAGUACUGUGAAGGAAAGGUGAAAAGCACCCCGGAAGGGGAGUGAAAGAGAACCUGAAACCUUGUGUUUACAAGCACCGAAAGUUCAUCAACGAACGAUCGGGUACCUUUUGUAGAAUGGUCCGGCGAGUGAAUGUAACUGGCAAGGUUAAGCACUUAAGGUGUGGAGCCGAAGCGAAAGCAAGUCUUAAUAGGGCGUCAAGUCAGUUGUAUUCGACCCGAAACCGUGUGACCUAGCCAUGAGCAGGCUGAAGUGGAGGUAAAACUCCAUGGAGGGCCGAACCCACUCCCGUUGAAAUGGUAGGGGAUGACUUGUGGCUAGCGGAGAAAUUCCAAUCGAACUCGGAGAUAGCUGGUUCUCUCCGAAAUAGCUUUAGGGCUAGCCUCGAUUUAACAUUACCGGAGGUAAAGCACUGAAUGGGCUAGGGGCCGAGAGGUUACUGAACCCUAUCAAACUAAGAAUGCCAGAUAAUUGUUUUCCGGGAGUCAGACGGCGUGAGAUAAGUUUCGUCGUCAAAAGGGAAAGAGCCCAGACCCACAGCUAAGGUCCCAAAGUAUAGUUAAGUGGAAAAGGAUGUGGGGUUGCCCAGACAACCAGGAUGUUGGCUUAGAAGCAGCCACUCAUUAAAAGAGUGCGUAAUAGCUCACUGGUCGAGUGACCCUGCGCCGAAAAUUCAACGGGGCUAAAUUAUACACCGAAGCUUGGGAUACCGCAAGGUAUGGUAGGAGAGCGUUCUGUAAGGAGUGAAGUGAGAGCGAAAGCGUUCGUGGACUUUACAGAAGUGAGAAUGCCGGAAUGAGUAGCGAGAAAUAUGUGAGAAUCAUAUUGGCCGAAAGUCUAAGGUUUUUGGAGGAAGGUUCGUCCGCUCCAAGUAAGUCGGGAGCUAAGGUGAGGCCUAACGGCGUAGCCGAUGCACAUACGGUAGAUAUUCCGUAACCACCGAAAGAUUUAAACACAGGGACACCUUGAAAGGGCAUAUCCCGGGAGUUGGUUUACCCGGGCGUAAGGGAUCGAAAUUUGAGUAGAGAAGUAUGUUUGGACGAGGGCGAGAAAAGCUGUGUGUAUAUUUUAGGUGCCCGUACCGCAAACCGACACAGGUGGACAGGAAGAGGAUUCUAAGGCCAACGGGAGAAGGGUAAUUAAGGAACUCGGCAAAUUGACCCCGUAACUUAGGGAUAAGGGGUGCUCAUAGAAAUAUGAGCCGCAGAGAAUAGGCCCAGGCAACUGUUUAUCAAAAACACAGGUCUCUGCCAAAUCGAAAGAUGAAGUAUAGGGGCUGACACCUGCCCGGUGCUGGAAGGUUAAGAGGAGGAGUGAGAGCUCCGAAUUGAAGCCCCAGUAAACGGCGGCCGUAACUAUAACGGUCCUAAGGUAGCGAAAUUCCUUGUCGGGUAAGUUCCGACCCGCACGAAUGGCGUAACGACUUGGGCACUGUCUCAACAUGGGACCCGGCGAAAUUGUAGUAUGUGUGAAGAUGCACAUUACCCGCGAUAGGACGGAAAGACCCCGUAGAGCUUUACUGUAGUUUAACAUUGGAUUUCGGUAACAUAUGUACAGGAUAGGUGGGAGGCGAAGAACCAGGGACGCCAGUUUCUGGGGAGCCGACCUUGGGAUACCACUCUUGUGUUAUUGGAGUUCUAACGAAUUGCCGUGAACCGGGAUUCGGACAGUGUUAGAUGGGCAGUUUGACUGGGGCGGUCGCCUCCUAAAGAGUAACGGAGGCGUCCAAAGGUUCCCUCAGAAUGGUUGGAAACCAUUCGCAGAGUGUAAAGGCAGAAGGGAGCUUGACUGCGAGACCGACAGGUCGAGCAGGUGCGAAAGCAGGGCUUAGUGAUCCGGCGGUAUGAGAGUGGAAUUGCCGUCGCUCAACGGAUAAAAGCUACCUCGGGGAUAACAGGCUUAUCUCCCCCAAGAGUCCACAUCGACGGGGAGGUUUGGCACCUCGAUGUCGGCUCGUCGCAUCCUGGAGCGGUAGUACGUUCCAAGGGUUGGGCUGUUCGCCCAUUAAAGCGGCACGCGAGCUGGGUUCAGAACGUCGUGAGACAGUUCGGUCCAUAUCCGGUAUACGCGCAAGAGAUUUGAACGGAGUCUUCCUUAGUACGAGAGGACCGGGAAGAGGGGACCUCCAGUGUACGGGUUAUCGCGCCAGCGGUAAACGCCCGGUAGCUGUGUUCCAAGCGGAUAAGUGCUGAAAGCAUAUAAGUACGAAGCCCACCGUAAGAUGAGAUCUCUCAUAGCAUAAGCUAGUAAGUUCCCAGACAGAUCAUCUGGUUGA
rnacentral:rRNA from 1 species